UGUGGGCAGGGAGAAACGUGGGCAAGGCACCUGAGCGUUUCUGCUCCAGGUUAGCAGCAGAGAAUUGGUCAUUCCGUGAGAAGUGUGCGUUAAUGAGCAACAGACCACACACACACACAUACCCACGCACCUAAACCUGUAUGCAAUACCUGCUCCUCUGACAGUCCUUGGUACCUUCAACUGAGUGAAGUCAAUACAAGAGUCUGCACUAUCCUCGGUGUCUUCAUUGUCUCCCUUCUGAACAUUCAUCCGGGCCUUGAGCAGUGUUCUGGCCGACACUCCGGGGAGUGGUAGCUGCAAAUCUGAGCUAGCCCCUUACAGUCCUCCCAGUCCAAGCUAUCUACCCAACAAUAACACUCAGAUCCUCCCAGCAGAGAUGUGAGCAGAGGAGGAGACAUGCGGCUCUUCUGAUUCCUUCUUUUUCAAUCCCUCCAUUUAAAAGCACAAGUUCACACUGCAGUAGUUGUGCGUCUUAAAUAUCUGCACAUCCUCUACAGAGAAAACAACUGUGAGUAAGAGGGACAGCUCCAUUUAAAAUGUAUUUAUACUUCAGUUUGGUGUGAUAUAUAUUGGGACAUUUAUAUAUAAGAGCUAUUUUGUGAUAUUUUGUAUUACUGAAUAUGACACUUUACCUUGUUUGUUACUGUUCUUAUUUA